CAAACAUACUCCAAAUGAAUGUACCAAGACCCCAAUUCUCACUGUCUUUUAAACUACCAGAGGGCCAAAGAAUACUUAUAAGGCCAUAGAGAGUCAUCUCUCUAGCCAAUUUAUGACUAAUACAUUACCCAAACUUUGCCUUAGAAAAAAUAACAUAUUUACUAUAUGUUACCUUUGGAUGUACGUGUCAAAACAAUAAAACUUUUAUGGCCACACAUGGUUUGUUCAGGACAUAUAUUGGUCCAGCGCCACGUUAUAGGCUUCUUACUGAACAGAAUUAGAUGGUGGUCCAUUGAGAAUAGUAGACAAACUUUUCCAAAUUUCAUCGUUGGACUUCCGAGGCGCUCUCUCUUUGCCAGAUUUUCCUUUCGUAGGUCAUAGGUUCAGGGUUUCAGGCCAUCUGUUUGUGAUUAGAUGCAUGCCAGACAUAUUUUGACGGUCGGACAGGUCGAAUCGAGGAGAUAUGAAUUGCUUUGGUAACCUUUUUUCUUCUCUAUAUAACAUUCUAUGUCUCCCAACCAUCAGAGGUUUUUUACAGCUGCGAUCGUUUCUGGGCAUUGUCACGGGUCAACAGUUGUUAGUGGCUUGACGUGGAUGCAGAUUGAUAGACCACUUGGGGAGUCAGAAAUUGCUACGAAAUAAUUGGUUUCAGGGCCAACAAGGAAAGGUAAAAAGAUUUUGGGGGUUGAUAAUGAUCGAGGGACAAAUUUGGCUUGCUUAUUUAUGUGGCAUUCACAGCUCUAAAGUGGGUUCCUUCUUGCAAGAUAUCUGCUCAGCAAGUCUGGAAAGAAAGAACUUGCUUUCUGAAUAACUUCAAAUCCUAUUGAAAGCUCAAUUAUGAGGAAAUUGGAUAUUGUGAUCAAGUAGCAAAAGUAGCUUGCAGUGUGAAAGGUUGUGAGUUGGGUUGUUAGUUUUUGUGAUAAUAUUAUAUCUUGCUUCUUUCCUUUGCAAUGCAUAUAUUUUAUGCUUUUCUAUUUGUCUUCCACUGGUUACAUCAAGGCCCGGUGUGUAGGUUUCUUGUAGUAAUAAGCAAAGGUCUUUUUUCUUAAAAAGAUCUUUGAUAUAGUUAGUUAUAUAUAAUGUAACCAUGUUCUGAUGUAUGUAUACCCCAAGUAUAUUCAAUAAGUGGUGAAUUUUCUUGAUGAUCUCUAAAGGGAAUUCAGUGUAGUUUCUCUGGUAGAUCUAGUAGUAUCUGAGUUGAGAAAAACAAAUUGGCAUCAUUAGUUUGUGAUUAGGCAGUUACUCCCGCCUAUAAAGUCAUACUUGUGAACUGAAACCUUAAUUUGGUUUUGGGCUUUUAGUCCUCCCAUCAUCCUGAGUAUAUGGAUUUGACAAAUCGCAUUACUAGUUGUACCAUGUUAUGUGAUUAGUUCUUUUAACCCUGCUUGGCUUUCACCCAUUUCUGUUUAAAGAUGCAGUUCAUGAGCUCCACUUGAGAAGUUUGUUACAGGCUCUCCUUGCAAUUUCUGAAGAACUUUAGCAGGCAAAGUGAAUUGUCUUCGAUUGAGAAGUCUUCGCUUUUAAAAUUGUUGCUUGAUAAGUGGUGAUGCUAUCAAACUCCUUGGUGCAGCUUUAAGUUCUAGGCUUGAGGAGUUGGUGCUCGUAAACUGUGAUAUCUUAGAGAGGAUUGGGCGUACUAACUUCUUUGUGGCAGCAUUUUAAACUGCUGAAGCAAUUGGAUGAGUCUUAUAACGAGGGCUUGGUCGAUAAAGAAUUUAUAUCGAUGCUUGCCUCCUGUCCAAGCUUGGUGGAAAUAAAGCUAUGGGGCUGUCAAGAAUUGGCUGAUAAUGUGGUUUUCUCUGUGUUCAAGUGUUGCCAAGCGAUAUUUGCAAAAUGCCAUAGGAUAUCGACUGAAGCUAUUGAAUUUCUUAUUCUGAACUCUUUGAAACUGGACAGAAUCUUGGUGGAAGAUGGUAAACUAUCAGACUUUGCUAGAAAUCAGGUGUCUUGGAAAAGAAUCGAACUUUCAUGACAAAGGCCUACAUGGAAGGAAGAAAGUAGGCCCCCUCCCUGAAACUCAGCUCAAUUCGAUCAAAACAGGCCACCAUUGCUUGGAAAAAAUGGGCAUUCUUGUGGCUGCUAAAUCAGUAAGCGCGUCGUUGUUAUUGUUUAAUUUAAUUAUCAUUGAAAAUCCCAUCUCCUUUUUGGUUACUGUAUUAUGGAUACUUCUAUUCCUGAAACUUGGCCAUCUUAUAAGUUAUUUUUAGUUCCAGAAAUUUAGCUGUAGAUGAAAACCUUCAACUGUAAAGUAAAACCCAACAAUGUCGAUAAAUCCUGUGGAUUAAUGGACCGAAGAAUAAAAAGAAAAUUGUAACC